rnacentral:ncRNA from 1 species
AAAUAUUUUAGGUUCUUUUCUAAGAUUAAUAGGGAAAGAGGUGAAAGACCUCUGCAGCCCCCGCUACUGUAAUGUGGACGAAACUUUUUAACCACUGUGGAUUUUAAAUAAGUUAAAUUUCCAUGGGAAGGGAAAGGAGUAGGAAGAAGCAAAGCCAGGAGACCUGCCUAUAAUAUA